CUGGAGGCCAAUGUCAAGGAGGUAUUAAGGUGGAAACAAAUUUGUUUCAUCACAGGAAUUGGAAAAUUCCCAAACUCCUGUUAGCUCAAUGACUUGUGAUUUCAUAGCCAUAAUCCUUAACAAAUAUUGUCGCGUUAUCCUUUUCAUCCACACAGAAGAGUCACUCAGAAGUCCCGUUUGCUAACCUGUGGCACGUGCAGGUUUGUAUUCUUCAUGUUAGUCUUGAUUACUC